rnacentral:lncRNA from 1 species
AAAAUUUAUCGAACGAUCACAGACAAACGUAGAGUCACACGAGGCAAGGUGGGAAAAGAAAAAUCAAGAAGAUAAAGGGUGAUAGAGAGCAGAAAUUCGGCAGCAAUGAAGACAAAAAUGGCAAGAAGGUGUAAGGAUUUUUGGGAAAGUAAAAAAAAAAAGAAAAAAAUGAACAGAAUAUUUGAUAACCACCCCAAUCCCUUAUUUCUCUCCAUCAAACUCCCCACUAAAUCCACUACUCAGAUUUUUAGUCCAUCUCAAACUCUCCUAGACGCACGAGCAAAAAUAAUGUCCGCGCCAAGAUUUGAACACAGGACCUCCUUCACACCAACACUCCACUUAUCCACCAGACCAGCAGGCCCAUUCUAUUUAUUAUUUGCCAACUUUUUCUUAAAAGCCUACUGACCAUUAUUCAUAAAAAUACCAAAAUUUGCCCGAGUCCUAGGUUGAACUUGAGACCUCCCAAACACGCUCAAAACACAUAACCACUAAAUUAGACAUAUAUUUAUUAUCACACAUUCACAAUACCCAAAAUUAAAAUUUUAGGGUGUUACAUAAAUACAUGCUCCUAACCAAUCACUUGUAUUUCUACAAGCUCAAAC